AUUGAACGCUGGCGGCAGGCCUAACACAUGCAAGUCGAGCGGUAACACAGAGGGCUUGCACUCGGGUGACGAGCGGCGGACGGGUGAGUAAUGUCUGGGAAACUGCCUGAUGGAGGGGGAUAACUACUGGAAACGGUAGCUAAUACCGCAUAACGUCGCAAGACCAAAGUGGGGGACCUUCGGGCCUCAUGCCAUCAGAUGUGCCCAGAUGGGAUUAGCUAGUAGGUGGGGUAAUGGCUCACCUAGGCGACGAUCCCUAGCUGGUCUGAGAGGAUGACCAGCCACACUGGAACUGAGACACGGUCCAGACUCCUACGGGAGGCAGCAGUGGGGAAUAUUGCACAAUGGGCGCAAGCCUGAUGCAGCCAUGCCGCGUGUAUGAAGAAGGCCUUCGGGUUGUAAAGUACUUUCAGCGAGGAGGAAGGCAUUAAGGUUAAUAACCUUGGUGAUUGACGUUACUCGCAGAAGAAGCACCGGCUAACUCCGUGCCAGCAGCCGCCGUAAUAC
rnacentral:rRNA from 1 species